AGACCAUGAUGUGGGCAUUUUCUUAGUAGGUCUUUGUAUCUCUCCCAUGCUUUAUAUAUUAAUUCAAUCUCGAACUGAGCAAAGGUUGUGAUGUCUUUCCUCAACUU
rfam:Citrus clementina cultivar Clemenules unplaced genomic scaffold scaffold_2, whole genome shotgun sequence.